rnacentral:rRNA from 1 species
CGUAACACGUAGGCAACCUGCCCGAAAGACUGGGACAACAUUCCGAAAGGGGUGCUAAUACCAGAUGUGACCAUUUUUCCGCAUGGAGAGAUGAUUAAAGCGAGCAAUCGGCUUUCGGAGGGGCCUGCGGCCUAUCAGCUAGUUGGUGAGGUAACGGCUCACCAAGGCGACGACGGGUAGCUGGUCUGAGAGGACGAUCAGCCGGAUUGGGACUGAGAUACGGCCCAG